rnacentral:rRNA from 1 species
AGAGUUUGAUCAUGGCUCAGGACGAACGCUGGCGGCGCGCUUAACACAUGCAAGUCGAGCGAGAACCAGUCCUUCGGGACUGGGGGACAGCGGCGAACGGGUGAGUAACACGUGGGUAAUCCGCCCUCGAUUCUGGGAUAGCCCGGGGAAACCCGGAUUAAUACCGGAUAGUCUCUCGAGCUUACGAGCUCGUGAGAAAAGGUAGCUUCGGCCUCCGAUCGAGGAUGAGCCCGCGGCGGAUUAGCUUGUUGGUGGGGUAAUGGCCCACCAAGGCCACGAUCCGUAGCUGGUCUGAGAGGACGAUCAGCCACACUGGGACUGAGACACGGCCCAGACUCCUACGGGAGGCAGCAGUGGGGAAUCUUGCGCAAUGGGCGAAAGCCUGACGCAGCGACGCCGCGUGGGGGAAGAAGGCCUUCGGGUUGUAAACCUCUUUCAGCAGGGACGAAGCCACUCGGGUGAAUAGCCCAGAGGGUGACGGUACCUGCAGAAGAAGCCCCGGCUAACUACGUGCCAGCAGCCGCGGUAAUACGUAGGGGGCAAGCGUUGUCCGGAUUUAUUGGGCGUAAAGAGCGUGUAGGCGGCCAGACAGGUCCGUUGUGAAAACUAGAGGCUUAACCUCUAGACGUCGAUGGAAACCGUCUGGCUAGAGUCCGGAAGAGGAGAAUGGAAUUCCUGGUGUAGCGGU